UUCCGGUUGAUCCCGCCGGACCCGACUGCUAUCAGAGUGAGAUUAAGCCAUGCGAGUCAACGUAUGAAUAAUACGUGGCGAACGGCUCAGUAACACGUAGUCAACAUGCCCAGAGGACGUGGAUAACCUCGGGAAACUGAGGAUAAACCGCGAUAGGUCAUAAUUACUGGAAUGUGUUACGGCCCAAAUCUAUAUGGCCUCUGGAUUGGACUGCGGCCGAUCAGGCUGUUGGUGAGGUAAUGGCCCACCAAACCUUUUACCGGUACGGGCUCUGAGAGGAGGAGCCCGGAGAUGGGCACUGAGACAAGGGCCCAGGCCCUAUGGGGCGCAGCAGGCGCGAAACCUCUGCAAUAGGCGAAAGCCUGACAGGGUUACUCUGAGUGAUUCCCGCUAAGGGAAUCUUUUGGCAUCUCUAAAAAUGGUGCAGAAUAAGGGGUGGGCAAGUCUGGUGUCAGCCGCCGCGGUAAUACCAGCACCCCGAGUGGUCGGGACGAUUAUUGGGCCUAAAGCAUCCGUAGCCGGUCUUGCAAGUCUUCCGUUAAAUCCAGCUGCUUAACAGAUGGGCUGCGGAGGAUACUACAAGCUAGGAGGCGGGAGAGGCAAGCGGUACUCAGUGGGUAGGGGUAAAAUCCUCUGAUCCAUUGAGACCACCAGUGGCGAAGNCGGCUUGUCAGAACGCGCUCGACGGUGAGGGAUGAAAGCUGGGGGAGCAAACCGGAUUAGAUACUCGGGUAGUUNCAGCUGUAAACGAUGCAGACUCGUGAUGGNNNGCUUUAUGCCGGCUCAAUGGCNCNGGAAGCCNNUAGUCUGCCGCCUGGGGAGUACGUCGCCAAGACUGAAACUUAANGGAAUUGGCGGGGGAGCACC
rnacentral:rRNA from 1 species